GUGUAGCCCCGAUGGAAGUGGUAUCCUUUUGUCGCGGUCCCGAUAGCUAUCGGGAGCGACAAAAGAUAUAAUGUACAGCGGGACUUUAU
rnacentral:sRNA from 2 species